CCUUCCCUUAUAUAUACAAAACACACGUAUGAACUCUUCACAAAGACUCUAACCUUUUACAAGUUCUUCAUCUCUCUUCUGUCUCUCCCUCUAAAAUAUUUUUCUUAACAUUUUCUCUCUUACUCGACUUCAAGACACAAACUAUCGAUGCAAGGCCGCAAGAUAUCGAUUUUGAAAAUCAGUUUGGAGUUUGAGCCAUGGCCUGAAAUCAAACGAAGACAAAGGUGAAACACAUAAAAUACCUCAACUACAAUUGCGAGGACAAUAAUGGUCCUCAUGGCAAGUCUAACGCUUGGCUAAAAUAUUUUUUCUUCGAGUAUAACAAUGAUCUCUUGAGUUAGUUUCAAGUUGAUCCUUCUUUUUUACUUGUAAGCACAUAUAUAUCUUUUGAUAUAGCUUCUACGAAUUUUCUUUUUCUUUUUUCUCUUUUUUAUUAUUGGAUAUUAUAUUGAAUUUACCUAUAUCUAUCGGUUUAAGUUUUUGGAUUAAAUUUGAUGAUUUAAGAUUAUUCAUGAAUCAAUGUUUGUGUUAACUCUGUCAAGAUGUUAAAGGUAAUAUUCAUGGAAGAUGGGAGCUUUCACAGCAUUUUGAGGAAUAAUCUCUUUUAUUAGCCGGGUGUACUUUCGAGAACUAAUGUGUGACGAUACAAGAUUCUGAAGAUAAGAUAUUGAUUUGCUAUUCAAGGAUGCUUGAGGUUGAGAUUGCAACUGGUUAUUCAUUAAGGGGGAGUAAUCCUAUUACUAUUAUAAUUAUUAUUUUUGUACAACAUAGUUCUGAUUGUUGAGUCAAUCCAUGGUCAGCACGUUGAUUUAUGUUUAGAGUGUUGUACCUCAAUUAUAACAUUGUAAUGAUCAAUUACUGCACGAGCAAUAUAAUCUCUUAUAAUGGGUCUAAGACCCCCCAGAUGUAGAUGAUGUGUCAUCGAACUGGGUUACCAAAGUUUGCUAUGUUCUUUAUGUUUUUAUGUGGUUCCGUGAGUUAUUCUUUUUGUUAUCAACUCUCGGUACAAUGGUACAACAAUUACUAA